GACGAACGCUGGCGGCGUGCUUAACACAUGCAAGUCGAACGGAAAGGCCCUUCGGGGUACUCGAGUGGCGAACGGGUGAGUAACACGUGGGUGAUCUGCCCUGCACUUUGGGUUAAGCCUGGGAAACUGGGUCUAAUACCGAAUAGGACCACGCGCUUCAUGGUGUGUGGUGGAAAGCUUUUGCGGUGUGGGAUGGGCCCGCGGCGUAUCAGCUGGUUGGUGGGGUAAGGGCCUACCAAGGCGACGACGGGUAGCCGGCCUGGGAGGGUGACCGGCCACACUGGGACUGAGAUACGGCCCAGACUCCUACGGGAGGCAGCAGUGGGGAAUAUUGCACAAUGGGCGCAAGACUGAUGCAGCGACGCCGCGUGGGGGAUGACGGCCUUCGGGUUGUAAACCUCUGUCACCAGGGACGAAGCGUAAGUGACGGUACCUGGAGAAGAAGCACCGGCCAACUACGUG
rnacentral:rRNA from 1 species